GAUGAACGCUGGCGGCGUGCCUAAUACAUGCAAGUCGAGCGAACAGACGAGGAGCUUGCUCCUUCGACGUUAGCGGCGGACGGGUGAGUAACACGUAGGUAACCUACCUAUAAGACUGGGAUAACUUCGGGAAACCGGAGCUAAUACCGGAUAAUAUUUCGAACCGCAUGGUUCGAUAGUGAAAGAUGGCUUUGCUAUAACUUAUAGAUGGACCUGCGCCGUAUUAGCUAGUUGGUAAGGUAACGGCUUACCAAGGCAACGAUACGUAGCCGACCUGAGAGGGUGAUCGGCCACACUGGAACUGAGACACGGUCCAGACUCCUACGGGAGGCAGCAGUAGGGAAUCGGCCGCAAUGGGCGAAAGCCUGACGGAGCAACGCCGCGUGAGUGAUGAAGGUCUUCGGAUCGUAAAACUCUGUUAUUAGGGAAGAACAAACGUGUAAGUAACUGUGCACGUCUUGACGGUACCUAAUCAGAAAGCCACGGCUAACUACGUG
rnacentral:rRNA from 1 species